CUCGAUUAGAGUUUGAUCCUGGCUCAGGAUGAACGCUAGCGGCAGGCUUAAUACAUGCAAGUCGAGGGGCAGCAUGGUGUAGCAAUACACUGAUGGCGACCGGCAAACGGGUGCGGAACACGUACGCAACUUACCCAAAACUGGGGAAUAGCCCGGGGAAACCCGGAUUAAUACCUCGUAACAUAAUGAAGUGGCAUCACUUUAUUAUUAUAGCUCCGGCGGUUUUGGAUGGGCGUGCGCCUGAUUAGGUAGUUGGCGGGGUAACGGCCCACCAAGCCUACGAUCAGUAACUGGUGUGAGAGCACGACCAGUCACACGGGCACUGAGACACGGGCCCGACUCCUACGGGAGGCAGCAGUAAGGAAUAUUGGUCAAUGGACGCAAGUCUGAACCAGCCAUGCCGCGUGAAGGAUGAAGGUCCUCUGGAUUGUAAACUUCUUUUAUAUGGGAAGAAAUCCAUCUUUUCUUGGGUGGUUGACGGUACCAUAGGAAUAAGCACCGGCUAACUCCGUGCCAGCAGCCGCGGUAAUACGGAGGGUGCAAAGCGUUAUCCGGAUUCACUGGGUUUAAAAGGGUGCGUAGGAGGGCAGGUAAGUCAGUGGUGAAAUCUCCAAGCUUAACUUGGAAACUGCCGUUGAUACUAUCUGUCUUGAA
rnacentral:rRNA from 1 species